rnacentral:rRNA from 1 species
GUGGAUUAGAUACCCGAGUAGUCCACGCAGUCAACGAUGAAUACUAGCUGUAUGCGAUAUACUGUAUGUGGCAAAGCGAAAGCGUUAAGUAUUCCACCUGGGGAGUACGUUCGCAAGAAUGAAACUCAAAGGAAUUGACGGGGGCCCGCACAAGCGGAGGAACAUGUGGUUUAAUUCGAUGAUACGCGAGGACCCUUACCCGGGCUUGAAAUGCAGAGGAAUGACUUGGAAACAGGUCCGCCAGCAAUGGUCUCUGUGUAGGUGCUGCACGGCCGUCGUCAGCU